rnacentral:rRNA from 1 species
AGUAACAAAUGUAGUCUUAUUAUAACAUAAUAAAACUUUCAACAACGGAUCUCUUGGCUCUCGCAUCGAUGAAGAACGCAGCGAAAUGCGAUAAGUAAUGUGAAUUGCAGAAUUCAGUGAAUCAUCGAAUCUUUGAACGCACCUUGCGCUCCUUGGUAUUCCGAGGAGCAUGCCUGUUUGAGUGUCAUGAAACCCUCAAACCCAAGUUUUGGAUUUCGAUCCAUGCUUGAGUUUGGAUUUGGAUGUUUGCCGGUGAUGAACCGACUCAUCUUAAAAGUAUUAGCUUGAUCUGUCUAUAUGACUGGUUUGACUUGGCAUAAUAAGUAUUUUGCUGAGGACAUCUUCGGAUGGCCAGGACCUAGACUACUGUCUGCUAACUAAACCAUCACUUUAAGUGCAUCUUUGGAUGUUACUCAUUGUGUAACUUUGACAUCUGGCCUCAAAUCAAGUAGGACUACCCGCUGAACUUAAGCA